AGACCAAAGAAGCUUAUAUCCCUUCCUUCCCAGACUCCAACGUCUCUUUCUCUAUCUCCCUCUCCACUGCUCUUCUCGCCUCCCUCUCUCACCGCCUCUCCACCACCGGCUCCGACGAUUUCCCUCGUUCGCCUUGUUCAGCAGCCGAUCUUCUCCUCUACCGCCUCUCUCUCGCUGCCUCACCACCCAUCUUACUCCCUCACCACCAAUCUCAGUGGAAUCCCCUAGCCAAGACCGACGGUGAUGGCGGCGGCGAUGGCAUCGUAUAUCUGAAGAUGGCCUUCACCGCCGCAUCCUCAUCCGCCUCCGCCUCCGCCUCCGCUUCCGCCGCCAAAAAACAACAAUGACAUUGAGAUCUCUAGAUCUACUCCAGGGAGAACAAGAUCGAACGGUCUUUUGGUGGAUUCGUUCUACCAUCACCACACCACCAUAUUCUCCUCUUCAUCCGCUGGUGGAUCCGCCAGAUCCGAGUAGAUCUGACCACUGUAGGCCCAUACAAGCUCUCUUUCUCUCUCUGAAAUCGUUAUCGAAUGUAGAAAACCAGACAUCCAAUUACACCUCCUUACUCAAUUAGCGGCUUGUAGAGAGUUUGGGCUCUGAGAAUCCAGAUUAUUUAGGAUUUUUGUUGUUGUUGUUGUUGUUGUUGUUUACUCUAUCUGUCUCUCGUUACAGAUCUGCGGAGAGAUCUAAAUCUCUACUUUUUUAGUUGUUGUUGUUGUUGUUGUUGAUGAUGAUGAUGAUGAUCAAGAAACAGAUUGCAACAGAUAAAAGAGGAGAGAUACUAAAAUUUUGAAUAGAUCAUAAAUUUUGGACAGAUCUGUUGAACAAAUAGAUUUUCAACAGAUUGAUUUUUUGUUGUUUAAUUUCAAUUUUAUUUGUACAGGUAAUGAAGAAAGAGAUAUAAUUCAAGU